GAGUAACGCGUGAGCGACCAACCUUGCACAGGGGGAUAACGGACCGAAAGGUUCACUAAUACCGCAUGAGACCACGGUGUUGCAUGACACAGAGGUCAAAGGAGCAAUCCGGUGCAAGACGGGCUCGCGUCCGAUUAGGUAGUUGAGGGUAACGGCCACCAAGCCUAUGAUCGGUAGCCGACCUGAGAGGGUGAUCGGCCACAUUGGAACUGAGAUACGGUCCAAACGUCCUACGGGAGGCAGCAGGUGGGGAAUAUUGGGCAAAAUGGGGGAAACCCUGACCCAGCAACGCCGCGUGAAGGAAGAAGGUUUUCGGAUUGUAAACUUCUGUCCUUGGUGAAGAGAAGAAGACGGUAGCCAAGGAGGAAGCCCCGGCUAACUACGUGCCAGCAGCGGC
rnacentral:rRNA from 1 species